UACGUAGGGUGCAAGCGUUAAUCGGAAUUACUGGGCGUAAAGCGUGCGCAGGCGGUUUUGUAAGUCAGAUGUGAAAGCCCCGGGCUUGACCUGGGAACUGCGUUUGAAACUACAAGGCUAGAGUGUGGCAGAGGGGGGUGGAAUUCCACGUGUAGCAGUGAAAUGCGUAGGGAUGUGGAGGAACACCGAUGGCGAAGGCAGCCCCCUGGGUUAACACUGACGCUCAGGCACGAAAGCGUGGGGAGCAAACAGG
rnacentral:rRNA from 1 species